rnacentral:rRNA from 1 species
GACGAAGGACCCGAGCGUUAUCCGGAUUCAUUGGGUUUAAAGGGUGCGUAGGCGGACUUAUAAGUCAGUGGUGAAAUCUCCAGGCUCAACUUGGAAACUGCCAUUGAUACUGUUAGUCUUGAAUCUGGCUGAUGUGGGCGGAAUAUGACAUGUAGCGGUGAAAUGCUUAGAUAUGUCAUAGAACACCGAUUGCGAAGGCAGCUCACAAAACCAGUAUUGACGCUGAGGCACGAAAGUGCGGGGAUCAAACAGG